AUGAAAUAGCUUCUAGGAGGAUAAAGGCUUUCCAGAGAAGUUAUGUUCUCUGUACUGGAGUUUGUCUAUGAAAAAAUUAAAUGGUCACAACACAGAAUAGUUUCCAUGUGGCCUAAUAACUGGCCAAGAAAGUGGGAAGCGGAGGAUGACGGAUGGAUUUUGAUGCAGAAGAGAGGUCACCAGGAGAGUUCCACUGGAUCAUCCACGCGAUUUGAAAAUAUACAUAAGAAAAUGGAAAUGGGGAUGAACAAUGCGGUGACAAUGUUUAGUGAUAACGUGAAGUUCUUCCACGCAGCAGUGGUGAAGAUCAGCUGUGAAGAACUGCAGAAUUGAUUUGAAGUGUUCUGCAGAUGAGAGCUGCUCUCAUUUGAGCAGUUCUAAUGGUGUGUCUGGAAGGGAAGGAAAGCAUCCUCAGCGCUAUUUCUCUCUGUUUGCCGUCUGCUUCCCGGAGAUGGAUGUUCUAACCACCGUACAGAGCAGGAGCAUCAAUAUCCUUUUCCAGCAUUGAAGCCGCACUCACUGGGUAGUGGAAUCUGUCAUCUCAUUCAUAUAAACUGCUAUCUGUCUGCAUCGGAAAAUGACCCAGAACUUUCUACCCAGAGUGACUGGAUUCAAUAAUGUUUUUUAUUUAGAGAUUUGCAGUGUAUAUGCCAGGUAAUACAAAUCUUUCCAUAUAGUUCUAUGUAUAAAUUGCCCCUUCUCUCUGCUAAACACAAGAACUAGGUUCUUGUUUGAUUUAUGCAACACUUGUUUUAUAGUGUCUCCUGUUGAACUCUGUGGAGAGUUCCCCAAAUAUUCAUGUACAAAGUCAAUGCUCAAAGUAAAUGCUGUGCCUGAACAUUUUCUAAACUCUGUGACACCACUUUCUUAUUGUUACCCACUGACUGCCAGAAAGAAUGCAGCAUUUUCCAAUUGAGUAUCUCAGCCACUGAGUUGUAAUUGUCAGGAUGAAGUGCUUAUAAAUUCUUCAGAUACAACUUCCCUGGAAGCUGUCAUGCAAACUCUAAAGGGUAAAAGGUACCGGGAGAACAAAUUUGACCAUUUUUCACAUGCUUUUCAUAGAAUUAUUACAUCAUAAAGGUUGGAGAGACCACUGAGAUCAUCUAGCCUAACCGUCAGCCUGUAUCUGUGACCACCUUAGACGAUGUUGCUCAGUGCCACAUCUACCUUUUUCUUGAAAAAUUCUAGAGACGGUGACUCCACCGCCUGCCUGGGCCAUCUGUUUCUCGCCGCUCCUUCUGAGAGGAAAUAUUUUCUAAUAUUUAACCUGAACCUCCCCUGGCUCAACUUGAGGCCAUUCCCUCUCAUCCUAUCGCUGUUAACUGUGAGAAGAGACCAGUCCCCACCUUACCGUUCCUUUUAGGUCAUUGUAGAGAGCAACAAGGUCUCCCCUGAGCCCCAUCGUCUCCAGACUGAGCAAUCCCCGCUCCCUCGGCUGCCCCUCUUUCCUGUCAGCUCUGUUGCCCUUCUCUGGAUACGCUUUGGGGCCUCUGUGCCUUUCUUGUAACGAGGGGCCCAAACAUUAACACAGUACUUGAGGUGCAACCUCACCAGUGCCGAG